AUGGUCCAGCUAGGGAAGCUGCUCCGCGCCCUGACUUUGAUGAAGUUCCCCUGCUGCGUGCUGGAGGUGCUCCUGUGCGCGCUGGCGGCGGCGGCGCGCGGCCAGGAGAUGUACGCCCCGCACUCCAUUCGGAUCGAGGGGGACGUCACCCUCGGGGGGCUGUUCCCGGUGCACGCGAAGGGUCCCAGCGGAGUGCCCUGCGGCGACAUCAAGAGGGAGAACGGGAUCCACAGACUGGAAGCGAUGCUCUACGCCCUGGACCAGAUCAACAGCGAUCCCAACCUGCUGCCCAACGUGACGCUGGGAGCGCGGAUCCUGGACACUUGUUCCAGGGACACUUAUGCGCUCGAACAGUCGCUCACUUUCGUCCAGGCGCUCAUCCAGAAGGACACCUCCGAAGUGCGCUGCACCAACGGCGAGCCUCCGGUUUUCGUCAAGCCCGAGAAAGUAGUUGGAGUGAUUGGGGCUUCGGGGAGUUCGGUCUCCAUCAUGGUAGCCAACAUCCUGAGGCUUUUCCAGAUCCCCCAGAUUAGUUAUGCAUCAACGGCACCCGAGUUAAGUGAUGACCGUCGCUAUGACUUCUUCUCUCGUGUGGUCCCGCCCGAUUCCUUCCAAGCCCAGGCCAUGGUAGACAUCGUAAAGGCUCUGGGUUGGAAUUAUGUGUCUACUCUCGCAUCGGAAGGAAGUUAUGGAGAGAAAGGUGUGGAAUCCUUCACGCAGAUUUCCAAAGAGGCAGGUGGGCUCUGCAUUGCCCAGUCCGUGAGAAUCCCCCAAGAACGCAAAGACAGGACCAUUGACUUCGAUAAAAUUAUCAAACAGCUCCUGGACACACCUAACUCCAGGGCUGUCGUGAUUUUUGCCAACGAUGAGGAUAUCAAGCAGAUCCUUGCAGCAGCCAAAAGAGCUGACCAAGUAGGCCAUUUCCUUUGGGUGGGAUCAGACAGCUGGGGAUCCAAAAUAAACCCACUGCACCAGCAUGAAGAUAUUGCAGAAGGAGCCAUCACCAUUCAGCCCAAGCGAGCAACUGUGGAAGGGUUUGAUGCCUACUUUACAUCCCGCACGCUUGAAAACAACAGAAGAAACGUAUGGUUUGCCGAAUACUGGGAGGAAAACUUCAACUGCAAGUUGACAAUUAGUGGGUCAAAGAAAGAAGACACAGAUCGCAAGUGCACAGGACAGGAGAGAAUUGGAAAAGAUUCCACCUAUGAGCAGGAGGGUAAAGUUCAGUUCGUGAUUGACGCGGUGUACGCAAUGGCUCAUGCCCUUCAUCACAUGAACAAGGAUCUCUGUGCUGACUACCGGGGUGUUUGUCCAGAGAUGGAGCAAGCUGGGGGCAAGAAGUUGUUGAAGUAUAUCCGCAAUGUGAAUUUCAAUGGCAGCGCAGGCACCCCAGUCAUGUUUAACAAGAAUGGGGACGCCCCUGGGCGUUACGACAUCUUCCAGUACCAGACCACAAACACCAGCAACCCUGGUUACCGCCUGAUCGGACAGUGGACAGAUGAACUGCAGCUCAAUAUAGAGGACAUGCAGUGGGGUAAAGGACUCCGGGAGAUCCCGCCGUCAGUGUGUACACUGCCAUGCAAGCCUGGGCAAAGAAAGAAGACACAGAAGGGAACUCCUUGCUGCUGGACCUGUGAGCCUUGCGAUGGCUACCAGUACCAGUUUGAUGAGAUGACAUGCCAGCAUUGCCCCUACGACCAGCGACCCAAUGAAAACCGAACCGGCUGCCAGGAUAUCCCCAUCAUCAAACUGGAGUGGCACUCCCCCUGGGCCGUCAUCCCUGUCUUCCUCGCCAUGUUGGGGAUCAUCGCCACUAUAUUUGUCAUGGCCACUUUCAUCCGCUACAAUGACACUCCCAUCGUCCGGGCAUCUGGGCGGGAACUGAGCUAUGUCCUGUUGACGGGCAUCUUUCUUUGCUACAUCAUCACUUUCCUGAUGAUAGCCAAACCUGACGUGGCAGUGUGUUCUUUCCGGAGAGUUUUCUUGGGCUUGGGUAUGUGCAUCAGUUAUGCAGCCCUUUUGACAAAAACCAAUCGGAUUUAUCGCAUAUUCGAACAGGGCAAGAAGUCAGUGACAGCUCCCAGACUCAUAAGCCCAACAUCACAGCUGGCGAUCACUUCUAGUUUAAUAUCAGUUCAGCUUCUAGGUGUUUUCAUUUGGUUUGGUGUUGACCCACCCAACAUCAUCGUAGACUAUGAUGAACAUAAGACAAUGAACCCUGAGCAGGCCCGGGGAGUUCUCAAAUGUGACAUUACGGAUCUCCAGAUUAUCUGCUCCUUGGGAUAUAGCAUUCUUCUCAUGGUCACAUGUACUGUGUAUGCCAUCAAGACUCGGGGUGUCCCAGAGAAUUUUAAUGAAGCCAAGCCCAUUGGAUUCACCAUGUACACAACAUGUAUAGUCUGGCUUGCCUUCAUUCCCAUUUUUUUUGGCACCGCUCAGUCGGCGGAAAAGCUCUACAUACAAACUACCACGCUUACCAUCUCCAUGAACCUAAGUGCAUCAGUGGCGCUGGGGAUGCUAUACAUGCCGAAAGUGUACAUCAUCAUUUUCCACCCUGAACUCAAUGUCCAGAAACGCAAGCGAAGCUUCAAGGCCGUAGUCACAGCAGCCACCAUGUCAUCGCGGCUGUCACACAAGCCCAGUGACAGACCCAACGGUGAGGCCAAGACAGAACUCUGUGAGAACGUAGACCCAAACAACUGUAUACCACCAGUAAGAAAGAGUGUACAAAAGUCUGUUACUUGGUACACUAUCCCACCAACAGUAUAGCUUUUGCCUGCUUUCCAAAAGGGUUAUCGCACAUGUUUAAUCUUUUCGGAACUGUGCAAUCUAAGUUUUGGUAAUGUGUUGCGACUCCCCCUCUUCCUCGACGUUCAAGGCAAUAACCCUGAGUUAACUGGAGACUCCCUCAGUUUAAAUUCCAUUUUAAAACACUCUGUAAGUACAGCUUAGCAAAGAAUAUAUGUUCCCUGACCUUGACAGAGAAUCACCUCAGAAAUAAAUGCAGCUAUAAAUCUUGCAGGCAUAUGUCUUUCUGCCUGAGAGCUCUGUGAAGCACCAACAUGUCUCUCAUCACGGUUGGACCUCAGCAUCCUCAAAACCCAAUUAAUAUUUGCCCUCUCUGUUCUGCAACUUUGGUUCGACUUAAAGAAUGGGAUGAAAGUUCACAUGGCUGGGAUGUCUACUGGUUCUUAGCAUCAAAGGAACAAACACAUCAUUCUCCGGAGUCCUGAAAACUAUGUCAGCUUUUACAUUUAAGCCUGGCACUGCACCAUCUGGCCAGGAUCUAUGAAACACAAGAGUAUUUUAAGUGGGGUCCAUCAAAGAAACGUUUGUCAAGCACCGCUCCCCUGGGUCAGCCCUGAACUGCCUAGGAGUAGGGGGACAGAAGUGGACAGUACCCUCAGGGGACCCCAGAUCUAAUUGAGGACUCACAGGUAAGCAAUUUUAAUUCAGAGGGACAGGGGCUCUUAGGAGAGGUAGUAGCAGUGAGUUCCAUGUGGAGAGCGUCGCCCCGGGGGGUUUUGUUUGAGCUGCUCUGAAAAGAUGAAGGACUCCAGGCAGUGGUAAAGAAAAGACCGGAGGCAGGAAACAAGUAAGCGCAAGGAAGCUUUUGUAUUCAGACGAAUGUGGUCUGUCCCGGGACUGGAAAGCAGUUCUGUGAGGCUGGAGAAUUGUAUUUGGAGGCAGAUGGUUUCGGGGGAUGACACGAGCCUGUGUACGGAGGGACCAAGUUGCCUUUAUCUCUGUGCCGUGAGCGCAGGGCCUGCAAAUGGGUCUCAGAAAAUGUCCGUGGCAUGAAUGGCGUGUAAUAUACUUCACGUACCAGAGGCUCCUAGCCUCACCUAGGACGUCAUAGGUAACAGUAAAUAUCUACUUAUUUAUUAAUAAUAAGAAGGUAUCCAGUCUACAGCCUCAGCAAGCGGAAGUGCAGUCUUCCAGAUAAAAUCUCUAAAGUCACAAAAGAGGCAAUGUUUGAUCCUGAUGUCACAGUUUUCUAAACCAUCUUUUAUGGAUAACUCUUAAAACGGAUGGUCAGCGCUACAUCUGCACUUGCGUAAAUAACAUCUCUUUUGAGGAGCUAACCCCAUGGAUGAAACCAGCAAAGUUUUUUGCCUAUUUAUUUCCUUUCAUGGACUGCAGAGACCAGUUUUCAGUUACCUUUGGAAAUGAAUGCUAAGCACUUCUAAUUUGGUAAAAACAGAAACAUAAUAAUCAGAAAAAACCAUUACAUUGAUUAAGUGCGUUUUCUCAGACACUGGCAUUAAGGACAGAUGUUGUGUUUUAGGCCCCCAGUUUCAUUUGCAUUUGAAAAGAAAACAGCGUGUGUCCUAAACCAGGUCAGUUAAUCUCUACAAUCUCUCUUCCUCCCAACUACUGUGAAUGAGCAUCUUCUCAGGACUCAAGAGAUGGUGACUCUGGUUUCUGCUACUAAAGACAUGUCUCAGCUCCGCAGACUUUUCUUUUCUUUUCUUUUUGGCUGUACAGUGGAACUCGGCUGCAUUUUAAAUUAGCUUUCUCUAGGAAUCAAAGAGUAACCUCUGGAGACCCCAGCUUGCUCAAAGAGGAUUGAGAAAAUGACUCCAUGCCUGUUCUUGCUGAGCUGACCCAAACACUCAGAUGACAUGGCAGCAGUCAGCCAUCUCACAUUCUGUGAAAAGUCCAACCACAGCUGAGCAUCUGUACUGGCAUACAGUCAGGCGACUGGCCAAAGGCAAG